AUACUAACCUGGCAGGAGAGAUACCGUGAUCAAGCAGGUGGUUUUCCCAGGGCGAGGCUCACCCAGUGCAUUUGGGUGUGUUGACCCCUGUGAUUUACCCAAAUUCGGGAAACUCGACUGCAUAAUUUGUGGUAGUGGGGGACUGCGUUUGUGCUCUCCAA